UAUUUGUGGUAUAAGGCAUAGUGACAUUGCCUUCUCUCUCACCCUACUCUAAUAAGGCUUUAAUAUCUAGAGCUCAUAGGUGGGAGACAGCUAAUACAUACUUACAAGACAUUUAUUGCAUAGUCAAACCAUGGAUCCAGAGAAACAAGUCAAUAAGUCAAACCAAGAUGUGCAUGUGUGGCGGAUGAAUGGUGUAUGGUGAUGAUGGUGAUAAUAAUGGUGAAAGUCUAAUUCUACUUUUGCUCUUUUGAGGGGAUACAUACCUUCCUUGCUUUUUGAAACUUUAUGAGGAGAAUGAGAUGCUCUAUCUUUUCUUUUCUUUUCUCUCAGGUGGGUAUCUUGUACCCCUAAUUCUACUGUCGGACACUUGUCCAUUUUUACCUCUCGUCUCACUUCUUUCUUUCGAGGUUCCGGG
rnacentral:lncRNA from 1 species